UCCAAUCAAUGGCAUGUUUGAAUAAAGAAAUUAAUUUUAUAUCCAAAUGAAUGCAUUCAGAUCAAUCGAAUGUGAUAUAUAAGAUAUUUUCUUUUUUCGAAAAUAGACAGUAGAAAUUUUCGGCACAGGUUUGAUCACGGUGGAGAACCCACGUGACUUAUUUGGUAAAGUGCGCGGCAACAAAUGUCAACUAGUCUCGAUUCAGAAUAUGAAGACUCCGACUUAAUGCAAAGAAUGCGGAAUGGCAUUUCAAAAUAAAAAAAAAACAUCUAGUAGACCACGAUAGAAGGCAUUCUGGUCAAUUGCCAUCGUUUGCGGGAGUGUUUACACAGACACAGGUGCAGCAAUCACGGCGAGACAAAGUUGCACGUUUGCAAAUAUUGUGGCAAAACUGCUCUUGCAAGACUUGAAGAUACACGAAAGACACGAAAGCGGCCAAUUGAAGCUAACCUGUGAUGUGUGUGGGUUCAAAUUGG